GCCAGAUUUCUUGGUGGAUGAGCGGAGGCUGCGUACAGCUGCAGUGGCGACUGCAGAUCAGAUGGUACCGAUGGAGGGGCAGAGGUGUUUUGUCUGUCCUGGCUGGAGCUGCUCUUUUCUUCCCAGCAGUUGCUCCUGGCAUUUUCUAGUUGGCCAGUGGCCUGAGGUCUCAGCUGUCCACUGUAAUUCUCACCUGCAGAGCCUGGUGCCCAUGCAGCAGUGCCAGGCUUGGAAGGUCUCCAAAGGAGCAGAGCCCUGAGGUCCUGCAGCUGGGGACCAUGCACUAAGAGCCUUGGGGAACAACUCUGCCAGCUGGGGACCUUGGGAAACCUCCCCAGCUAAAUAUCACUGCUGUCCUGCAUCUGUUAUGUUUUCUAGGGUGAAAACAUCUUGAUAUUUCCUAGUUAAGGAGCCCUGACACAAGUGAAAUGACCAGACAUGUGAAUAGGAAACAUGGUGAUUAAGUACCUGAGAGAUGAAGAAUGCAAAGGAAAAGGCAUUCUGCAGCCAGAAAAAAUGAACUGUGUGAUUUCCCCCAGCACCUUGGGGGAGCGGGGAAGGGCUGGACCUCUCCUAACUCUGGCCAAUUCAGGCACUUUGUGCAUGAAAACUGCAGCUAACUGAAUUCCAAGCUGGGGGGAAAAAAAUUCCUUCUGUAAAUGAGAGAGAAGAAAUUUUCAUGGGUUCUGCAUACGCGCUCGUGAGCUUCAGGGGCUGGAGCCGAUGGGAAGGAGAAAGCCCCAUAGUCCUCCCUUCUGCUCAGUGCUGGCUGUGCCCCAUCUCGCUGUGCAGCCCCUCAGCCCUGCGGAGGGAUGCUCCUCCACCCCAUCGGGCAGCCACGGGCUCCUCAGGGCUCCCAUGGCCACCGUCACAGUCCCGGGAGACCUUCACCACUGACAGCUCCUCACAACCCUGCCGUCUUUGGGAAACACCCACUUUCCUCGCUCGUGUUCCAAGAAGCGUAGGUAAGAAACAUAUAUCCAUUAUCCUCUCAUUCGUUAUUUGCCUGAUAAAAUGUAAUGUUUGCUUAGCUAAUGUGCUUGAGACAAGGUAUGUUAUAAAAUACACACUCUGUCGAACACGGCAAAAUGGGCCAGUUUUCACAGUACUUAAAAUCUAUGGCGUGAGGCAAAUCCCAUCUAGAAGAAAGAUGCCUCGCUGAACCGCUUGUGUCAGCCCACAGCCUCCAGCCACAUCAGACGAGCCAGGCGGUCCUGGGUUGUUUAUGGAGCAUUUGCAACAGAAAGGUGAAAUAAAACCUUGGCGAAGGGUUUCUUUUUUCCCCUGGACAAGACGGGGUGGCUGGCAGGGGCAGGGGGCCAGUCCCUGGGGCUGGGUGUGUUGGGGGUCUGCUGCCUGCUGGGUGGCCUGUCCCUCGCACUGGCUUUGGAGGCUGCUUGUGGUGCAGCUCAUGGUGGCCUGCCCAGGUCCCAUGGCUGGUGGGAGGGGGCUGAGGUCUGCUCGCCCUGGGCUUUGAUCUUCCCGUGAGGCCAUAAUACAAUCUAACCUAAAAUGAGAUCCAGACUUCAAGACCUCUGGGUGCUCUUUUAGCUCCCAAAUCUUCCCUGUCCAGCAGUAAGGACCUGCUCCUACCCGAGCCAUUUCCCACCCCGUUUCCUGGUGCCCUUGCAAGGCAGCCAAGGAAAGCACCCCGGGGCCAGCACAUCCCCCAGGGGACAAGCACAGCACAGGGGGGGCUCAAGCGCAAACCUGAGCAGGUACUUCUCAUGGAGGUCAUGCAAGGUUUGUGGGGCUCCUUCAUCUUUAUAACAGCAGCAGGGACUGGGAUGACACCACCUGGAAGGGUCCCCAGCUCUCCCCUGGCUCUCUGCAGGGGCAGAGAAGCAAUAUCAGCUUUUCUCCUCCUGGUACUCUCCGCUUCAUGUGUUUCUGCAGGGAAGGAUGGGGCUGGGUGAGGCUGUGCUCCGGCCAUGGCCAGGGGAUGGAGGCAGCUGCAGUGGUGCCCGAGACGAUCAUGGAAUCACAGAAUGGUUUGGGUUGGAAGGGACUUUUAAAGGCCAUCUAGUCCAACCCCCCUGCACUGAGCAGGGACACCUUUAAUUAGAUCAGGUUGCUCAGAGCCCCGUCCAACCUGAUCUUGAAUGUUUCCAGGGAUGGGAAUCCAUCUUGGGAAUUCCAGGACAGGAUCCCAGCUAGAGGUACCGUGUUACCCUGGGACUUUGAGCUUUUUCCAGAAAUCCCUUGGUUUUGCCUGCCCUGCGGGGCUGCGGUGACUCGCGGUUUGCCCUGCCCCACAGCCCCUGAAGCGGCUGGGGAGGAGGAAGUCUCUGGGAAGGCAGAGUGUUCGUGAUGAAAGGGAGAACCAGAAAACAAGGUGUUUGCUGCAUGAAAGGGGCCCAUUCUCGUGGAUGAAAGGGAAAGACACGUACGCACGUCUUUGGACUCCACAGCAUCUCCCAAAGCUCUGGUUUUAUGCUCCUUUAUCCUUCAACUUCUUCCUUAAUGAGAAAUUAAUUAGCCUUGUAGUUCCUGCCUAGGAACUUGUAAACAUGCAGCAGUGGUGCCCGUCAUUCCUCCUGCCCCGUCCCAUCCCACCCCCCUUCCCUGCGGUGUAGUCCAAGAUAUCUGACAAAAACACUCGAGAACAAAGCUGCCUGGCUAAUUCAGGGAAUUAUCAGGAAGCCUGUAGCAGAGCUGAGAUAAUAGGCCUUAAAUAGCAGCCUGAUUGCGCUUCCUCCAGAGGCUUCCACGGCUCCCUCCCACCCUGGGGUGAGAGGCGAGGGGCUCCGGGCCACCGGGACCCCUGGCGCUGGGACCUGGCUGAGGUGGGGUGGGCGCACCGGCUCUUUUACAGCCUCCUGGUGAUGCCCUGUGGUGGAGAGUGGGCCAAGCCAUGCUCAGGGGCUCUGAGCCCACCUCCCUGCCCUGGGACGUCGCCGGUGGGGAUGCCGGCGUGGGGGGAGAGUGCUGCUGGCUCCUUGCUUUGCAUUUGGGGGAAAACUAAAAAGGAAAACCAGUGCUCGUUGGGGUGGCUCAGAGGUCUGUGCUGUGACGUCCGUCAUCUGGGGCAUGCGGGCCACGGUGCAGGGAUGGUAAAAGAGGUAGAAACAGGGCUGAGAAGAGAGGGCUCAGCCCAGUGAAUCACAUCGCCCCAGGACACGCACCGGCCCGCGGGCUGUGGCACAGAGGGGGGAAAAAUCAUUUGUGACGGGACGUAAUUUUUUUUUCAUUAAAAGAGUAUUUUUUCAUAAUGGAGACCUUUAAUUGGCAGAAAAAUCAUGUCGUUAAUUGUUGCAACCAAAGGGGCAAAUUCAAAAUCCUGCAGACAAGGAGUGCAUUGAGGAGCAGGGCGGUGGAGCGUGUGUAGCGUGUGAACCCGGGCACGGGGCAGCGAUGGGGCACGUUCCCGCUCGUGCUGCGCCAGCGCAGACAGACCAGCACCGCAGGCUGACCCUGGCCCAAAGGAGGCUGCUGGUUUGGUCUGCUCCAGCAAAACCUGCCUGCUCCCCGCUGAAAUCUCUAUUUAUGCCCCAUUUCUGGCGUGGCUGGUGCUGUGUCAAGGGACUGCUUUGUAGCCUUAAUGCUCAGAAGCCAAACUUUACUGCUGACACAUUUUUUCCCCGGCGCGGUUAGUUAACAACACAGGAGUUUCCUACCCCGGAGGACAGGCUGUUUCCACAGCAAGGAGGU